UACGAAGGGGGCUAGCGUUGCUCGGAAUCACUGGGCGUAAAGCGCACGUAGGCGGAUCUUUAAGUCAGGGGUGAAAUCCUGGAGCUCAACUCCAGAACUGCCUUUGAUACUGGGGAUCUCGGGUCCGGAAGAGGUGAGUGGAACUCCGAGUGUAGAGGUGAAAUUCGUAGAUAUUCGGAAGAACACCAGUGGCGAAGGCGGCUCACUGGUCCGGUACUGACGCUGAGGUGCGAAAGCGUGGGGAGCAACAGG
rnacentral:rRNA from 1 species